rnacentral:lncRNA from 1 species
GUUAGUUUUACCCUACUGAUGACAGUGUCGCAAUUGUAAUUCAACCUAGUAUGAGAGGAACCGUUGAUUUGCACAAUUGGUAAUCGCGCUUGGUUGAAAAGCCAAUGGCGCGAAGCUACCGUGCACUAGAUUAUGACUGAAUGCCCUUAAUUCCGAAUCCGGCUAGAAGCGACGCAUGCGCCCGCCAUCUGCUUGGUGACCCGCAGUAGGGGCCUUUGGCCCCCAAUGGCACGUGUCGUUGGCUAAGUCAUCACGGCGGAAGAGCCGCGGUGGCCGCCUAGAAGUACAAUUUCCAUCGAGCGGCGGGUAGAAUCCUUUGAAGACGACUUAAAUACACGACGGGGUAUCGUAUGUGGUAGAGUGGAUUUGCUGCCAAGAUCCACUGAGAUUCAGCCCUUUUUCUCUCCGAUUUGUCCCUCCCCCUCCAAUCCAAUCAUUAUCUAACUUUUCCGAUAAGAAGUUCACUCCUACCUUGAUACUAUAUUAUACUAAGUGUUGGAAAAAAUGAACCAGUCCUCAAGAACUUUUAACGUAUACUAUUUGUGCAUUAAGUGGACAAUGUGCUUUGACACUUAGUCACGUCGAGGGAAAUACCAAACCAAAUUACUCAACUAGAGGCUUAUUGGGGUGUCGCUUGAGAGGUCGAGGCCUAUUCCAAGGUUUUUCGGGGUGUCUCUUGAGAGGCCACGGACGAUGCCCCAAGCGAUAAGCGUGGCCAUGACAUGAGUUAGGACGUCCCAGGACAUGGCAGAGCGUGGCCAUGUUAGGGGCCAGGACGUGUCAGUACGUCGCAGCACAUGAUAGGACCCGGGCGGGACGUGUCAGGACGUCGCACAACAUGGCAGGGCGUGGCCAUGGCACGAGUCAGGACGUCGCAGGACGCGUUAGGAAAUAGCCAUGGUACAUGUCAGGACACAUCAGGACAUGGCCAUGGCACGUGUCAGGACGCGUCAAAACAUGGCAGGGCGUGGCCAUGGCACGAUUUGGGACGUCACAGGACAUGGCAGUAUAUGACCAUGGUACGUGUUAGAACGUGUGAGCACAUUUCCGUGGCACGAUGUUGCACCAAGCCGCACCACGUUGCUCCAAGCCGAACCACGUCGCACCACAUCUAUUGGUAGCUAAUGCUUAGAAACAUGUCAAGCGCAAUGAUGGUGGUGAUCAUUGGCGGCAGCGAUGGAAAGUCGGGGUGGUUCGAGCGGUAGCAUCCGGCGAUGGUCGGUCGACGCUUGGUGGUUGGCGGCGGUUGCUUCAAAUCCUAAUCACUUGUUGUGGUUGGGAAACAUGUCAAGCGCAAUGAUGUUGGCGGUCGUUGGUGACGGUGGUGGAAAGUCGCGGUGGUUCAAGCGGUAUCCACCGGCGUCGGUUUGUCGACGCUUUGUGGUUGGCGGCGGUUUUUUCAAAUCGGAAUCCCUUGUUGUGGUUGCGACAAUGCAGGUGCCUCGUGCUUAUUGGCGGUUGGUCAUCCAUACACUUUAAUAAUAAUAUUACGUAUUUUUCCUUUUUUUAGUACAUUGUUUAGUAAUUUUUAUGCAUUUUUUGUUAUUUUUAAUUAUUUUUAUGUCACUUUUCAAUACAAAUAUUUACUCUUUUAUAUGUAAUACUAUUACAAGAUGUAUUGGAAUUUUUCUCAAUCAUUUUUUCUAUUUUUAUAAUAAUUUUCAUAUUUUUUAGUAUUUUAUCAAGUAUUUUUCGUUUUUAAAUCAAAAAAAUAUUAUUUUUUGCAAAAAAAUAUCAUUUACAAUGUGCUAUUUGGUGUUGUACAUGUCUAUUAUGAUUCUCUGGACAAAACAUGUCUACUCAUGAAACUUGGAUUUUUUUUAAGCAUAUAUAAGGGGGGUAGAGGUGUUGAGAGGCACCUCAGGUGCUUGCUGCCAGGAAGGGGCGGGCGGGGACGGUCGCAUGGGGCGUGGGCAUUGGCGGCAUGCACGGCUUGUCCGUGGUACGUCCUCGAUGUUCCCAAACCGCACCGGCAAGUACUCGUGUGGUCUUUUAGAACGCCUGGUGGUGGCACCGCUCGUGGAAAACAUUGGCUUUUGGCAACGAACGAUGGAGCAUCAUGCAAGUAGCGCCGCAAGGUGCCGUGUGCAUGGGGCGAAGCUCAGUACUUGUUGAUUGCCAUUGGAUGUUGCGGGAAAAAUCGGGAGGCGACAUCGCUCGUGGCGGCUGAUGGCUUUUGAAAACAGAAUGGCAAAGCAUCGUGCAAGUAGCGCCGGGAGGUGUUGUGCGCAUGGGGCGAAGCGUAGUAAGUUGUUGAUUGCCAUUGGUUGUUGUGGGUUGUGUCUGGAAUCUCUCGUGGCGACUGAUGGCUUUCGACAACGAACGACUGAGCAUCGUGCAAGUAGCGCCGCAAGGUGCCGUGCGCAUGGGGCGAAGCUCACUAGAUGUCGAUUGCCAUAGGUUGUUGCGGGCAACAUCGCUCAUGGCUGUUUAUGGCUUUCGGCAAAGGAACGGCGGAGCAUCGUGCAAGUAGCACCACAAGGUGCCGUGUGCAUGGGGAGAAGCUUAUUACUGCCAUCUAUUUUUGGGGGUUAUGUCUGUAAACCCCCCUCUGUGGUGGCUUAUGGCUUUUGACAACGUACCGCAGAGAAUGGUGCAAGUAGCGCCGCAAGGUGCCGUGCACAAGGGGCGAAGCUUAGUAGAUGUUUAUAUGUAAUACUAUUACAAGAUGUAGUGGAAUUCUUCUCCAUCAUUUUUCUAUUUUUAUAAUAAUUUUCAUAUUUUUUAGUAUUUUAUUAAGUAUUUCGUUUUUGAAUAAAAAUAUUUCAAAAAAAUAUUAUUUUUUGUAAAAAAUAUCAUUUACAAUGUUUAAAAGUUAUAUGUGAAUAUAUUGUCAUCCUCCUUAUAACCCAACAGACACGUUUACCAAAAGCUGCAUUUGUGUCCGGGGUCGUCCUGGCUUCGCCUUGCGAUGGCUUGGUCCACGACUUAGCUUGCUCGGGCUCUCGGAUUCAGUAAACGCAAUGGGCACGGGGCCUUCAUUGGCUUCUAUCUGCCCAAAGAAUGCUCCUUACGAAUGAUGGUCGUGCUCGCCUUGGACUUGGCCGUGCCCUUUUUGGACGGCCACGCUCAUGCGACGCCGGCGUCAAUGAGGAAUGCUACCUGGUUGAUCUUGCCAGUAGUCAUAUGCUUGUCUCAAAGAUUAAUCCACUUGGCCGUGCCCUUUUUUCAUUGGCUUCUAUCUGCCCAAAGAAUGCUCCUUACGAAUGAUGGUCGUGCUCGCCUUGGACUUGGCCGUGCCCUUUUGGGUUGGCCAUGCUUAUGCAACGCUGGCGUCAAUGAGGAUUGGUACUUUGUUGAUCCUGCCAGUAGUCAUAUGCUUUUCUCAAAGAUUAAGCCAUGCAUGUGUAAGUAUGAACAAAUUCAGAGUAUGAAACUGCGAAUGGCUCAUUAAAUCAGAUAUAGUUUUUUUGAUGGUAUAUACUACUCGGAUAACCAUAGUAAUUCUAGAGUUAAUACGUGCAACAAAACCCGAAUUCUGGAAGGGAUGUAUUUAUUAGAAAAAAGGUCGACACGGCCUCUGCCUGUUGCUGCGAUGAUUCAUGAUAACUCGACAGAUCACACGGCCAAUGUGCCGGCGAUGCAUCAUUCAAAUUUAUGCCCUAUAAACUUUCGAUGGUAGGAUAGUGGCCUACUGUUACACCCCUUACAAAGCUGAUCGGCAAGCAGCGCGGCAGUGGCGAGGAUUUUGGCAUGAUGGCCUUGCCAUUGGCCUUAUGCGCGGGGAAAUCAACAUGUAAGGCAAUGCGAGUGUUGUCGAUGGCAACAAACUGUUGCAAGGGCAAGUGAUAUGAACUACACUUCCAUUUGAGAGCUUUGGUGUCACGGGCUACAUCAAAGACAGAAGGGGCUGUUUGCAAGCAAAGGCCAAGACCUUCACGGAACUAGGCGGGCUGAACGGAUGCUUGACAAGACAAAACGGGAAAGACCUCGAUGCUAAAUUGGGCAGCUUAGUGUCAAGGCAGUGGCAUUGGAAAUGUGAUGUUUCCAUGACUUAGGUGAGUGGGCUGUCACCUAAAUAAAUAUGUGGGCAAACAACUUAGCAACGGGAAUGACAUCAAGGCUUGGUGACUUGAUGCUAAAUCAGCAUUGGCAUUGGCAACGGGCAGACUUGAUCAAGUAGGGGCGACUUGACAAGAACAACCAACUGUGGCAGCAGAUGGGCAGGCGACAAAGUUUUGGGCGACGAGAUGUGGCUAUGGCACAGAGCGGAGUAGUGUCAAAGGCCAAGGCUGGGCACAAUGCUAACAUUAGGCGUGUAGCAGCUGGCUGACGAGCACAUGCAACGCACAUGGAGCGGUUUUCAAGUGUGUUGUGCACAUGAUGCAGUUGGGCGGUUACAACCACUCCCUAAACAUGCGGAUCAUGGCCUAGAAAUGGGGAGGAGCAGUUGGCAGUUACAACCACUCCCACAACAUGCUGAUCAUGGCCUAGAAAGCGUGAGGAGCAGGUGGCGGUUACAACUACCCAUGUCCAGUAGUUGCUGAUUAUAUGGCUAAGUGUUUCCACGUUUUGGGGCAUGUUUUAUCAUGUUCCCACGCAUAGAUCAUGGGGAUCAUGUCCUAUCAGUUGGGGGAUGUCGCCUGAACAUAGGAAUUUAUUUUGGGCUGACUACACUAUAUAUAUGUGUGUUAGCAGCCUCAAAAACGGGCUGGAGUACCUAGAGAGGGAAAUAGUCUAUUACGUAGACAUAGGGUUGUCUACUUAAUUGCUUAAGCAUGGCAAAGUGUGUGCCAUUGCCUUGCCAAAUGAGUGGAAGCACGAGCACCCUUAGGCGGGGUCCUUUUAUAAGGUAGAAUCGUACAACUGUCAUCUUAUGUAAGUUGGUGCGGCAAAGGGUGGCAGCACCAUGCCGAACUCGAGAAUAUCCUUUGUAAUUGAUUUAAUAAAAUGAUGGGAAAAGGGUUUCCCGUAAAUCUUCUUUUCUCCUUCUUAUUUCCGUUACUUUGAAAUAAUUCUAGGUGCAAACCUCGAAAGCGAAAGAAAAUCGGGUAUGGCUGAGUCAAGUUGGUGCUUGGCUGCCGAGCGUGCAGAGUUUUCGGCGGACAAAAAAAUACCCCUGUGACACCUACCAUGGUGGUGACGGGUGACAUUGAAUUAGGGUUCCAUUCCGGAGAGGGAGCUUGAGAAACGGCUACCACAUCCAAGGAAGGCAGCAGGCGCGCAAAUUACCCAAUCCUGACACAGAGAGGUAGAAACAAUAGAUAACAAUACCGGGCUUUAUGAGUCUGGUAAUUGGAAUGAGUACAAUCUAAAUCCCUUAACGAGGAUCCAUUGGAGGGCAAGUCUUGUGCCAGCACCCGCGGUAAUUGCAGCUCCAGGAGUACAAUCUAAAUCCUUUGACGAGGAUCCACUGGAGGGCAAGUCUGGUGCCAGCAGCCGCGGUAAGUCUAGCUCCAAUAGCGUAUAUUUAAGUUGUUGCAGUUAAAAAACUCGUAGUUGGACUUGGGGAUGGGCCGGCCGGUCUGCCUUAGGCGUGCACAGGUCGUCUCGUCCCUUUUGUUGGCGAUGCGCUCCUGGCCUUAAUUAGCGGGGUCGUGCCUCCGGCAUUGUUACUUUGAAGAAAUCAGAGUGCUCAAAGCAAGCCUACGCUCUGCAUACAUUAGUAUGGGAUAACAUUAUAGUAUUUCGAUCCUAUUACGUUGGCUUUCGGGAUCGGAGUAAUGAUUUACAGGGACAGUCGGGGGCAUUCAUUCUUAUAGUCAGAGGUUAAAUUCUUGGAUUUAUGAAAGACGAACAACUGCGAAAGCAUUUGCCAGGGAUGUUUUCAUUAAUCAAGAACGAAAGUUGGGGGCUCGAAGACGAUCGGAUACCGUCAUAGUCUCCACCAUAAACAAUGCCGACCAGGGAUCGGCGGAUGUUGCUUUUAGGACUCCGCCGGCACCUUAUGAGAAACCAAAGUUUUGGGUUCCGGGGGGAGUAUGGUCGCCGCGGACCAGGGAUCGGCAGAUAUUGCUUAUAGGACUCUGCCGACACCUUAUGAGAAAUCAAAGUUUUUGGGUUCCUGGGGGAGUAUGGUCGGAAGGCUGAAACGUAAUGGAAUUGACGGAAGGGCACCAGCAAGAGUGGAGCCUGCGGCUUAAUUUGACUCAACAUGGAGAAACUUACCAGGUCCAGGCAUAGUAAGGAUUGACAGACUGAGAGCUCUUCCUUGAUUCUAUAGGUGGUGGUGCAUGGUUGUUCUUAGUUGGUGGAGCAAUUUGUCUGGUGAAUUUUGUUAACGAACGAGAGCUCACCCUGCUAACUAGUUAUGCGGAGGUAUCCCUUUCGCGGCUAGCUUUUUAGAGGGACUACAACCUUUACGCCACAGAAGUUUGAGGCAAUAACAGGUCUGUGAUGCCCUUUGAUGUUCUGGGCCGUACGCGCGCUACACUGAUGUAUUCAACGAGUUUAUAGCCUUGGCCGAUAAGCCCGGGUAAUAUUUGAAAUUUCGUCGUUAUGGGGAUAGAUCAUUGCAAUUGUUAGACUUUUACGAGGAAUUCCAAGUAAGCGUGAGUCAUCAGCUCGCGUUGACAACGUCCCUCCCCUUUCAACACACUGCCCGUCGCUCCUACCGAUUGAAUGAUCAGGUGAAAUGUUCGGAUCGCAGCGACAUAGGCGGUCCCCUCCCUGCGACAUAGCCAAAAGUCCAUUGAACCUUAUCAUUUAGAGGAAGGAGAAGUCGUAACAAGGUUUCUGUAGGUGAACCUGCGGAAGGAUCAUUGUCAAAACCUGCAAAGCAGAAUGACCAACGAACUUGUUUAAAACUGGGGAGCGGUGCGGCCGGGAUACUUCGAGCUCCGUAUGCGCUGCUUCCUCAUAUAUCCCUGACGCGCGCACUUUCCUGUGUGCCCGGUGAUUAAUGAACCCCAGCGUGGAAAGCGCCAAGGAAUAAUAAAUUGAAUGCGUGCCCUCGUGCCCCGUUUACGAUGUGCGCUUGGGACUCGUGCUUCUUUUGAAACGCAAACGACUCUCGACAACAGAUAUCUCGGCUCUCGCAUCGAUGAACAACGUAACGAAAUGCGAUACCUGGUGUGAAUUGCAGAAUCCCGUGAACCAUCAAGUCUUUGAACGCAAGUUGCGCCCGAAGCCAUUAGGCUAAGGGCACGUAUGGGUGUCACGCAUCGCGUCGCCCCCGCACACCGCACCCAUUCUCAUGAUCGCGGUGAUGUCGUAGGACGGAUACUGGCCUCCCGUGCGCCUCGAGCAUGCGGUUGGCCUAAAUGCGAGUCCACAGCGACGGACGUCACGACAAGUAGUGGUUGAAACUCAACUCUCGUAAUGUCGCGGCUCAAACCUGUCGCAUGUUUGGAUUCCCGUCCCUUAUCGCGCUUAGGUGCUUCGACCAUGAUCCCAGGUCAUGCAGGAUUACCCGCUGAGUUUAAGCAUAUUAAUAAGCGGAGGGAAAUACACUUACAAGGAUUCCUCUAGUAACGGCGAGCGAACCAGGAACAGCCCAGCCUUAGAAUCGGGCGGCUCCGUCGUCAGAAUUGUAGACUAGAGAAGCGUCCUCAGCGGCGG